GAGUGAUGUGGGGGGAUGGGGAUCUGGGGGGAUGGGGGGGUGUCGUUAUGGGGCAGCAGAUCUGUGGGACGGAGGGUCCAGGAAUCUAUGGGGCUGGGAAUGGAGUCCUAUGGGGCAGCGAGUCUGGGAAUCUAUGGGGCUGGGAAUCUAUGGGUCUGGGAAUCUAUGGGGCUGGGAAUGGCGGUCCUAUGGGGCAGCGAGUCUGGGAAUCUAUGGGGCUGGGAACGGCGGCCCUAUGGGGCAGUGAGUCUGGGAAUCUAUGGGUCUGGGAAUCUAUGGGU
rnacentral:lncRNA from 1 species